rnacentral:tRNA from 1 species
UCCCUGGUAGUCCAGUGGUUAAGACGCUGCACUUCUACUGCACCACUGCAGUGGGAAUGGGUUUGAUCCCUGGUCAGGGAA